rnacentral:rRNA from 1 species
UUUUAUGAGAGUUUGAUCCUGGCUCAGGACGAACGCUGGCGGCGUGCCUAAUACAUGCAAGUCGUACGCUUCUUUUUCCA